CAGGGUAUAGCUCAGUGGUAGAGUGCCAUGCUUAGCAUGCAAGGAAUCCUGGGUCCAAUUCCCAGUUACCUCC
rnacentral:tRNA from 1 species